UCGAGUUUCAUAUAAAUCCUCAUUGCAUUGUAUCUUUUGUCAAGAAUGACUAAUUUUCCUUCUCAAAUUGUUUUUUUCAACAGCAUUUUGCUGCAGUCAUAAUGCGGAUAAGGGAGCUGAAAACAACAGCUUUAAUAUUUGUGUCCGGUAAAAUGGGAAUUCCAGCUAGUGUCUAGAUUUUUUCCUGUGACAAGGAUGCACAGGCUCAGCCUGUUGCUUGGCGAAGUUUUUUCCGGUGCUCCACGAUGCAACUGCACUGGAACUACGCUGCAACAGGACUUCUGACAGUGGCACAAUCGGAUGUUGAUAAAACCAACCAGAGUUACUUUGGUGAAUUGAAGCUGAAUUACUUGACGAUUGAUUGGAGCCAUGAAGGACUUGUGCCUCUAUGUAUGAUUUUCAAGUUAAUUGGCUGACCUUAUUAAUCUAUCAUUCUUUGUUUGCAUUUGCAAGUGAAAUUGCUGAUUUUAUAGAUGGGUUGCAGGUAAAGAAGGGCCUGUCUGUGAUAAGUGGGUCUUUGGCCAGUAUACUUUUAUGUCCAAUCUCACAUUUAAGCAUGUAGCAAGCUGGUUGUGUGCAUGUGUAUGCAAAAUCAUCAUGCCAUUAGUUUUAGUCUAAAUGCAUAGAUUAAGUUGAAUGUGAUCAAUCUUCAAGGUGGUAUGUUACACUUCAGCUUUGUUGAAUGUAGGAUGGCUAUUUAAGAGUUUUCAAGUUGCUAGUAUGGAAGUCCUUCUUGAUCAGCCUGAUGCCCCAUGCCUCUGUGAAAGAUUUGGAUUUCAGACUUCUCAGACUUUCUCAUGCAGUUCUGAUGGAAAAUUUGUAGCAUCCUUGGGAAGUAGUGGUCCUUGUCGGGUUUGAGACCUAACGUCAUUGAUGGUUGUAGCCAAUUUACCAGGUGAAAAUGGUGAGAUUUUCGGGUUCUGCCGUUUUUCUCAUAAUAGUGAUGAUAAUCAAACCCUACAUUUGACUGCAUUGCAAGGCCAGCAUGGAAUCAUUGUCUCUUGGAACACUAUAACAGAUUAUGGGCAGGCGAUUGGGACCAAGGAUUCUUGGUAGGGCUGAUGAUUCUAUGGUUGUUGAUGCUAGAAGAUGCUUAUUAUGAAGACCAGGUGGAAAUGGUGAUCGAGAAGAUGCUUCAUUAAGUACACAAAUGGUCGGAGAGGGG